AGAACGAACGCUGGCGGCGUGCUUAACACAUGCAAGUCCAACGUGUUAGGGGAGCAAUCCCCCGGUAAGGUGGCGCACGGGUGAGUAAGACAUGGGAAUCUGCCCUGGAGAUGGGGAUAUCCCUCCGAAAGGGGGGCUAAUACCGAAUACCGUCCGAGGUCCGGGAGGACUUUGGGGAAAGGGAGGCCUCUGGCAACACGCUUCCGCUCCGGGAGGAGCCCAUGGCCCAUCAGCUAGUUGGUAGGGCAAUGGCCUACCAAGGCAAAGACGGGUAGCUGGUCUGAGAGGACGAUCAGCCACACUGGCACUGAGACACGGGCCAGACUCCUACGGGAGGCAGCAGUGAGGAAUUUUGCACAAUGGGGGCAACCCUGAUGCAGCAACGCCGCGUGUGGGAAGAAGGCUUUCGGGUUGUAAACCACUUUUGUGAAGGACGAAGCCCUGGGGCGGAAGAGGCCCUGGGGGUGACGGUACUUUGCGAAUAAGCCACGGCUAACUCUGUGCCAGCAGCCGCGGUAAGACAGGGGUGGCAAGCGUUGUUCGGAGUGACUGGGCGUAAAGGGUCUGUAGGUGGUUUUUCAAGUCUUUGGUAAAAAGCUGUGGCUCAACCAUAGUGAGGCCAAGGAGACUGGGAGACUCGAAGCUGGGAGAGGGAAGCGGAAUUUCUGGUGUAGCGGUGAAAUGCG
rnacentral:rRNA from 1 species